CUCCCCUCUGCCCUCAGCUCACUUCCUGAGGCAGGAGAAUCACUUGAAACUGGGAGGUAGAGGUUGCAGUGAGCCAAGAUUGUGCUAUUGCACUCUAGCCUGGGCAACAAGAGUAAAACUCCGUCUCAAAAAAAAGAAAAGAAAAAGCAACUAGCUGAAUUAAUGUAAAAUAGUUUAAUUGAACAAAGAAUGGGCAGCAUCCCAAGCCAGUGUAAGCUCAGAGACUCCGAGGCAGCUGUCGCUGGAAAGGGGUCCUGAUCUAGACUCCAAGAGAGGGUUCUUUGAUCUCACACAAGGAAGAAUUCAGGCAGCCUGAAGCCCUCACCAGAAACAGAUGCUGGCGCCAUGCUUCUUGUACAGUCUGCAGAAUCAUGAGCCAAAUAAACUGAUACAGCAGGAUGCUUACCCUAGGAAUCCAGCUACCAUGCUGUGUGGAAGCCCAGGCCACAUGGAGAGGCCACAUAUCAUAUCCGGGCUGGAAGCCCCAGCUGAGGUCCCAGGUAGCCAGCAUCAGCUGGCUGUCAGGAAAUCGUCAAGCUGACUCCAGCCCAGCAACCACCUGACUGCAACCAUAUGCAACCUUGAGCAAGAUCUGCCUAGCUGAGCCCAAUCAAUGCUCCCUCCCCAUGAAACAAAAGACAUGAAUAAUAAAUGGUUGUUUUAUGCCAAUAAAUAUGGGUGGUUUACCAUGCAGC